GGUUCAUGUGUCAAAGUCAUUGCAGCUACAUCAUCGGUGGCCGCAUUUGUUGUUCUUCUGUUGAUGGUGGCCACUGCUCUUUAUCUUUCACUGAAAACAAGAUACAACGAAGAGAUACACUUGAAAGUCGAAAUGUUUCUCAAGACAUAUGAUACAUCAAAACCAACAAGGUACACUUUCUCCGAAAUUAAAAAGAUAACGAGACGCUUCAAGGAUAAAUUAGGACAUGGUGGAUAUGGAAGCGUGUACAAAGGUGAGCUACCAAAUGGGGUUCCUGUCACCGUCAAGAUGCUUGAGAACUCUAAUGGAGAAGGGCAGGAAUUCAUCAAUGAAGUUGCAACUAUUGGGAGAAUCCACCAUACAAACAUUGUCCGACUCCUUGGCUUUUGCUCUGAAGGGACAAGAAGGGCUCUUAUUUAUGAAUUCAUGCCUAAAGAUUCAUUGGAGAAAUAUAUAUUCUCAGGUAAUUCUAUUAUUUCUCAAGAACUCCUGGUACCGGACAAAAUGCUAGAUAUUGCUUUAGGCAUUGCUAGAGGAAUGGAGUACUUACAUCAAGGAUGCAACCAACGCAUACUCCACUUCGACAUCAAGCCUCACAAUAUCUUAUUGGACUACAACUUCAACCCGAAGAUCUCAGACUUCGGCCUUGCAAAAUUGUGUACAAGGGAUCAAAGCAUCAUCACGUUGACCGCAGCAAGAGGCACUAUGGGGUACAUCGCACCAGAGAUUUACUCUAGGAACUUUGGUGGGAUAUCCUACAAGUCGGAUGUUUACAGUUUCGGCAUGUUGGUGUUAGAAAUGGUAAGUGGACGGAGGAACUCAGACCCAAGUACCGAGAGCCAGAACCAGGAAUACCUCCCGGAGUGGAUCUACGAGAAAGUAAUCACUGGAGAGGAACUGGUGCUUACUUUGGAAGUGACACCAGAAGGGAAAGAAAAGGCGAGACAGCUGGCAAUCGUGGCACUUUGGUGUAUUCAGUGGAACCCAAGAAGCCGGCCAUCAAUGACAAAGGUGGUAAAUAUGUUAACUGGAAGCUUACAGAAUCUGCAGAUGCCCCCUAAGCCAUUUGUCCCAUCUGAAAAUUACCGCAUGCCAUAG
rnacentral:rRNA from 1 species